AUCUUUCUCUGUUCUCUUCUAUUCUUUCGUCGUUUUUAGCUCUCUGUGUCUCCUUCGGUCACUAAUUUCAUUUCCCUAUCCUUCACGUGGCCCGGGACCCAACCCAACCGAAAAUCAGCACUCCUCGCCACCUCAUUUCUUCCUUCCCCGCUCUCUCUCUCUCUUCGCCGGAGCUGGAUGAUGGAGAUGGAGGAUACAGGGAGCUGCGGCAGCAGAGCCCACGACGACGCGUCCUCCGCCGCCUCUCUGUCUCCCUCCCGUUCUCCCCGGGCGCAGAGCAGGCGGCUGCCGGGGAAGAAGCUCGACGUCUACAGCGAGAUCCUCCGCCGCCUCCGUGACUCCGGCAACGAGGAGGCCAUGCGCCCCGGGUUCGAGGAUGAACUCUGGAACCACUUCAAUCGCCUCCCCACGCGGUAUGCGUUGGAUGUAAAUGUCGAGAGGGCAGAGGACGUGCUUAUGCACAAAAGGUUGCUGCAUCUGGCUCAUGAUCCCGAUAAUCCGCCUGCAAUCGAAGUUCGCCUUGUACAGGUUCCUCCAACAUCAGAGGUACAUUCAAUUGAUUCUGUCCAUUCAGGUUCUUUGAAUGAAGAUGGUUCCCAGAGUCCAGCAAAUUACCAGAAGAAGAAAAGUAUACAUCCACCACCUGCCUUUGGUUCAUCACCUAAUCUUGAAGCUCUUGCCCUAGAAGCAAGUAAAUCACCAGCAAUGGAUGGGGAUAACUCUGUUCAUGCCAAUACGCAUUUUUCUCGGCCAAUGCAUGAAAUCACCUUUUCAGCAGAUGACAAACCGAAGCUUCUUAGCCAGUUGACAUGCCUACUCUCUGAGGUUGGACUAAACAUCCAAGAGGCACAUGCAUUUUCUACCACGGAUGGGUAUUCCUUGGAUGUCUUUGUUGUUGAUGGCUGGCCAUAUGAGGAAACAGAGAAGCUUACAACAGCUUUGGAAAAGGAAAUUUUCAAGAGCGAGAAGCAAGCAUGGCUGGAUUCUCCAAUAUCAUCUCACGCCAGUGAUAAGCAAACAGGGAUGAAUGGUGAAGUUGAUCACUUGUCGAUACCCAAUGAUGGAAAUGAUGUUUGGGAAAUAGAUCUCAACCACUUGAAGUUUGGGGACAAAAUUGCAUCUGGGUCCUAUGGUGAUCUGUUCAAAGGUACAUAUUGUAGUCAGGAUGUGGCAAUUAAGGUACUGAAGCCUGAGCGUAUAAAUUCCGAUCUGCAAAGAGAGUUUGCACAAGAAGUUUUUAUAAUGAGGAAAGUUCGACACAGAAAUGUCGUGCAAUUCAUUGGUGCAUGUACAAAGCCUCCAAGCUUAUGUAUUGUUACAGAAUUUAUGUCUGGGGGAAGUAUUUAUGACUACCUACACAAACAGAAAGGUGUUUUUAAGCUACCUACAUUGCUCAAAGUAGCUAUCGAUGUCUCAAAGGGGAUGAACUAUUUGCACCAGAACAAUAUCAUCCACAGGGAUUUGAAGGCUGCCAAUAUACUGAUGGACGAGCAUGAAGUUGCUAAGGUUGCCGAUUUCGGGGUUGCCAGAGUGAAAGCUCAGACUGGAGUCAUGACUGCUGAAACUGGGACAUACAGAUGGAUGGCGCCUGAGGUCAUCGAGCACAAGCCUUAUGAUCACAAGGCUGAUGUUUUCAGUUUCGGGAUUGUGUUAUGGGAGCUGCUAACUGGAAAGCUUCCUUACGAAUACUUGACGCCAUUACAAGCAGCCGUUGGAGUUGUUCAGAAGGUCUCGGAGAAAAGAUUCUUUACAGCAAUCAAAAUACAGGUUUACGGCCUAUUAUCCCGAAAAACACCCAUCCCAAGCUUGUCGAGCUAUUAGAGAGAUGCUGGCAGCAAGAUCCAACCUUGAGACCCGACUUCUCCGAAAUAAUAGAAAUCUUGCGACAAACUGCCAAGGAGUUUGGGCAAGAAGGGGAGGAUCGGCGGAAGGACAAAUCAGGCGGAUUCCUAUCCGUCCUAAGACGAGGGCUCUAACAUUCUGAUAAUGGAUGUACGCGAAAAGUAGCCAUUCUACUACUUUCGAGCAAUACUCAUUCGUCGUCUGCCCUCUAUUUUAUUUUAUCCAUCAUUUCAGUGUACAGUCUAUUACAGGUGAUGUCUGCUGCUCUAUGUAAAUUAUACACCUAAAAAAGGGGGAGAAGUAAAACAGCCAUUCUCUAUAUUCCAAUCUGUGCUGUUGUAAGGUCUAAUCGGAGAGUGUCUGAUGGCUUUGAAGAGUUGUGGAGCUUUCAAUCUUAAUUAUUUUGACGAACACAGAAGGCAUGGCGUUGUUGAUAACUAUAGAAAACAGUUUCACUUA